CUUUUUUUUUCAGGAGAUUUCAUUUCUUCAAAAAAAAAUGGGGAUCAGUGGUCACUUUACAGUGUAGAAACAGUAGAGGUCUGACUUAUUUUCCUUUAGAUUUAAGGAUUCUAUGUAAUCAUAGCGUAAAGAAACUUUAUUCCUGUUGAAUAGCCAGUAUCUAUCCCGAAAAAGUCUUCCCAUUACUGCCAAUUCACAAGUGAUAGUAAAGAUCAAAUAUCCUUCCUAGAUUCCUUAAAGGUAAAGAAGUGAAAGAGGUAAGUACACAUCAGGAAGACAAACAUGGAAGUUAAUUUGAAUAUAUACCGUAUCUUCUUUAAUACAAUACCUAGACAGUAUCUAAAUAUGAAAAUGAAGUUCUGAAAUCCCAAAAUGAUGUAAAAGCUGAAGUCCAGACCGUGAGCAUAAAGAGCAGAUGAGAAACAAAUCAGAUCAGUCAGCAAAUAAAGGAAUGCUUUAUUAAAUAGUUUUUAAGGUGAAAAAAAUCUAUAUAUGAAAUGUAUUUAUCUGCUGCAUAGGGUGACGUUGGAAUAUUCCAGGUUACAUGACAGAAAGAAACACCAUUCCCAGAAGACUACAGGAGAAAGAUUUAUACAACCUGACAGAUCAGUACAGACCUUACCCCAAGAUCCAGAUUUGUCUCAGGACUCUUUCAUCAGCAUCAUCCCUGCACAGCUGGAGCUAAUGAAGCAUGCCCAAACAGGGCUGCAGAUAGGAGACAACAAAGCAGUUUUCUGCCAGCAGCACAUUGCCUGAAGAAAGCUACAUCUAUGCCUGUGCAAUUUGCAGCUGAGUUAUGAGGCUAGAAAUGGGCUCCGAUAUUUGCUUGCAGUGGAGAUCACAUCCUGGCCAGGAGUUCGAAACCACUGAGUCCAAACUUUGGCAAUCCAUAUCUUCAGAGUAGGAAGGAUGCUGAGCCUGGGAAUAGCGUUUGCCUGCUCUUCAUUCCAACUGAGGGCCAAACAUCUGGUGGUUUCUUCAUGAAUUUACUUGGACCUGAAGAUACUUCAUUUUCAGUAGCUGAACAGAAGAUAUCUGGGGAAGAAAGUAAAUAAAAUGGAUGAAAAAGAAAAAAGAAAAAGAAGU
rnacentral:lncRNA from 1 species